rnacentral:rRNA from 1 species
AGUGAACGCUGGCGGUAGGCCUAACACAUGCAAGUCGAACGGCAGCACAGUAAGAGCUUGCUCUUACGGGUGGCGAGUGGCGGACGGGUGAGGAAUACAUCGGAAUCUACUUUUUCGUGGGGGAUAACGUAGGGAAACUUACGCUAAUACCGCAUACGACCUACGGGUGAAAGCAGGGGAUCUUCGGACCUUGCGCGAUUGAAUGAGCCGAUGUCGGAUUAGCUAGUUGGCGGGGUAAAGGCCCACCAAGGCGACGAUCCGUAGCUGGUCUGAGAGGAUGAUCAGUCACACUGGAACUGAGACACGGUCCAGACUCCUACGGGAGGCAGCAGUGGGGAAUAUUGGACAAUGGGCGUAAGCCUGAUCCAGCCAUACCGCGUGGGUGAAGAAGGCCUUCGGGUUGUAAAGCACUUUUGUUGGGAAAGAAAAGCAGCAGGUUAAUACCCCGCUGUUCUGACGGUACCCAAAGAAUAAGCACCGGCUAACUUCGUG